rnacentral:rRNA from 1 species
CCUACGGGAGGCUGCAGUAGGGAAUCUUCCACAAUGGGCGAAAGCCUGAUGGAGCAACGCCGCGUGGGUGAAGAAGGUCUUCGGAUCGUAAAACCCUGUUGUUAGAGAAGAAAGUGCGUGAGAGUAACUGUCCACGUUUCGACGGUAUCUAACCAGAAAGCCACGGCUAACUACGUGCCAGCAGCCGCGGUAAUACGUAGGUGGCAAGCGUUAUCCGGAUUUAUUUGGCGUAAAGGGAACGCAGGCGGUCUUUUAAGUCUGAUGUGAAAGCCGUCGGCUUAACCGGAGUAGUGCAUUGGAAACUGGGAGACUUGAGUGCAGAAGAGGAGAGUGGAACUCCAUGUGUAGCGGUGAAAUGCGUAGAUAUAUGGAAGAACACCAGUGGCGAAAGCGGCUCUCUGGUCUGUAACUGACGCUGAGGUUCGAAAGCGUGGGUAGCAAACAGGAUUAGAUACCCCAGUAGUC